rnacentral:rRNA from 1 species
UACGUAGGGUGCAAGCGUUGUCCGGAAUUAUUGGGCGUAAAGAGCUCGUAGGCGGUCUGUUGCGUCGGCUGUGAAAACCCGGGGCUCAACUCCGGGCCUGCAGCCGAUACGGGCAGACUAGAGUUCGGCAGGGGAGACUGGAAUUCCUGGUGUAGCGGUGAAAUGCGCAGAUAUCAGGAGGAACACCGGUGGCGAAGGCAGCCCCCUGGGCUGACACUGACGCUCAGGCACGAAAGCGUGGGGAGCAAACAGG